AGGAGGAGGAGGAGGAGGAGGCAGCGGGCAGAGAACGCCACUCAAGGAAGGGGCGCCAGAGGGCAGAGAGUCCCGGGUCACCCAUGGAGGGAACUAGCAGGAGGACGCUGCCAUGGCCGCCUUCGAAGGGGAAACGCCCCCUCGAAGCAACCGAAGACUCUGAAUCUUCCUAAAUAAAAAUUGAACAAUAAAGGUCA